UACAAGACAACACACUCUGUGGCAAGGACCAGUGUAUGGUAAACAUCAUCUGUUGCCAAAUCAUACCUGACUCAUACUACGGAUUCCAGCUGACAGAGGAAGGCAGGUGAAGGCUCUCAUUCAUUUGACAAAAUUGAUGGAUAAGACUAACAGUUCAGAAGAAUUCUGAGUGAAGCUGAGAAGGCAUCUUCUGUCUCUAUGAACAAUGUCACCUGAUUUAUUAUCAGACAGCUAGAGAAUGCUACACUUAUUCAUCACCACCUGAUCCACAAGAGAUAUCCUACACCUUAUCUUUCCUAUACCUCUGUUACAGCCUCAGCUCCUCUGCCCUAGAGAACUUUCAGAAGGUUAAUGCAUUUGUAUCAAAUAACACUUUUUCUUUAAAGAUCACUGGGACAGGUUGCGAGUAGGGGGAAGAAGACCUGAUUCUAACGAGCUACAUCGGUGAAUAGUUCCAUCAUGUCUAGAAAGUGACAGAAUGAGGAAUAAAAGGUGAUAUGUUUCAAUAAAGCCAAACCAUCACAUGAAA